rnacentral:rRNA from 1 species
GGCUGCAACUCGCCUACAUGAAGUCGGAAUUGCUAGUAAUCGCGGAUCGGCAUGCCGCGGUGAAUACGUUCCCGGGCCUUGUACACACCGCCCGUCACACCAUGGGAGUCGGUAACACCCGAAGCCUGUAGUCUAACCGCAAGGAGGACGCAGUCGAAGGUGGGAUUGAUGACUGGGGUGAAGUCGUAACAAGGUACC